CCUACGGGAGGCAGCAGUGAGGAAUAUUGGUAAAUGGCCGAGAGGCUGAACCAGCCAAGUAGCGUGCAGGACGACGGCCCUACGGGUUGUAAACUGCUUUUGCGGGAGGAUAAAGUGCGCCACGCGUGGCGCUUUGCAGGUAUCCCGUGAAUAAGGACCGGCUAAUUCCGUGCCAGCAGCCGCGGUAAUA
rnacentral:rRNA from 1 species